UACGUAGGGGGCAAGCGUUGUCCGGAUUUAUUGGGCGUAAAGAGCGUGUAGGCGGCCAGACAGGUCUGCUGUGAAAACUCGAGGCUCAACCUCGAGACGCCGGUGGAAACCGUUUGGCUAGAGUUCGGUAGGGGAGACUGGAAUUCCUGGUGUAGCGGUGAAAUGCGCAGAUAUCAGGAGGAACACCGGUGGCGAAGGCGGUUCUCUGGGCAUUACCUGACGCUGAGGAGCGAAAGUGUGGGGAGCGAACAGG
rnacentral:rRNA from 1 species